rnacentral:rRNA from 1 species
UACGGAGGGAGCUAGCGUUAUUCGGAAUUACUGGGCGUAAAGCGCACGUAGGCGGCUUUGUAAGUUAGAGGUGAAAGCCUGGAGCUCAACUCCAGAAUUGCCUUUGAUACUGCAUGGCUUGAAUCCAGGAGAGGUGAGUGGAAUUCCGAGUGUAGAGGUGAAAUUCGUAGAUAUUCGGAAGAACACCAGUGGCGAAGGCGGCUCACUGGACUGGUAUUGACGCUGAGGUGCGAAAGCGUGGGGGAGCAAACAGG